GAUGAACGCUGGCGGCGUGCCUAAUACAUGCAAGUCGAGCGAACGGACGAGAAGCUUGCUUCUCUGAUGUUAGCGGCGGACGGGUGAGUAACACGUGGAUAACCUACCUAUAAGACUGGGAUAACUUCGGGAAACCGGAGCUAAUACCGGAUAAUAUUUUGAACCGCAUGGUUCAAAAGUGAAAGACGGUCUUGCUGUCACUUAUAGAUGGAUCCGCGCUGCAUUAGCUAGUUGGUAAGGUAACGGCUUACCAAGGCAACGAUGCAUAGCCGACCUGAGAGGGUGAUCGGCCACACUGGAACUGAGACACGGUCCAGACUCCUACGGGAGGCAGCAGUAGGGAAUCUUCCGCAAUGGGCGAAAGCCUGACGGAGCAACGCCGCGUGAGUGAUGAAGGUCUUCGGAUCGUAAAACGCUGUUAUUAGGGAAGAACAUAUGUGUAAGUACUGUGCACAUCUUGACGGUACCUAAUCAGAAAGCCACGGCUAACUACGUG
rnacentral:rRNA from 1 species